rnacentral:lncRNA from 1 species
AGAACAGAGAGCUGCAAGGACACACUCCGCUUCCAUUUGAUUGUGGGACACUUUAAUUUCUUCAUUCUGUGGCGGCGGCAGCGGCGGCACGACGGAGAUGAACAUCCGCUAAUCACCUGCACGUCCAUCACAUCGACCUCCUCCUCCUCCUCCUCCUCCUCCUCCCACGAUUCCCUGCACAGGAUUGAGUUUGGGCUGGGGGUGAAACUGUUGACCCCUCCACCUCCUCUCAGGUGAGAAAAAAGGAGGGAUUUUCUUUCUAUUCUGUCUCCUUCCGUCUCUUUCAUCACCUCGCUUGUAAUUAGCCGGAGCUGAGAUUUUUCUCUUUUGUCGGCGCUCUGAAAGGUGGAUAAGCGUCCUUUGUGCCUUCUCACACCUUUUUUAUUUCUUUUAACAAGUUUUUUUUUCUUUCUUUCUUUUUUUUAAGACGAACCUCAGAGCCAGCCGCUGCCGUCUCAGAAGGAAGCUGAUAACCAAGAGGGAGUUUCUACUUCUCUCUUUUGCCGCCGUCUUUAUCUCCCAGGACACAAUUAGCUGCUCUAUCGCUCAUCACCAUGCCGGUAUUUUUCCUCUCUCUCUCUCUCUCUGUCUCUCUCUCUCUCUCUGCCUUUUCUCUCUUUUUCUCUGCAUUUAAAAGACGCCGUUCUUUGUCGAGGUUCACUCUUGAAAAGUUGAAAGCACAUUUGGGUCUGCAGUGGAAGAAACACAACUGUGUGUGCAGAGAUAAAAUGGUCUCAAACUGCUUUGUUCAAAACAGAAACAGCAGCAUCCUGAAUUUAUCCAUUUAAAGAAGAUCUCACUGAAGCACAAAGACUCAAGUUAGUUUUCUGCCCCAAGUUUUAAGUCUUCUCACUCUUCACCUCCGGCUCUGCGCCGUGUUAAAGAGAACUGUCUUGGCUCCUUUUAUGCCGUACCUUCACAUCAUCGGAUUAUUUGUAGCUUCCUGAACAGCUGCCGGUUCCUCGCUUGAUCGGGUUUUCCUCAUUAACCGAACUAAUAAAAGAAUUAUGGGAUAAAUGAACUCCCUAAUGUCUGCAAAGGGGCGCCGAAUUCCCAAUUCAGUUCUGACAUCCACGGAUCCCCCAGCAUGUGAACCCUGUCAGUGGACCCAAAGGGGGUCUCCUCUCUCAGGGAGAAUCCCAGUGUGCACUUUUUCAGUUUCUAUAAGACCGAGACAUGACUGUGACAUUUAGGGAUCAGGACCAGGUCAAAACCAAGACCGAGACCAGGUCAAAACCAAGACCCAGACCAGGUCAAGAUGAAGGUUUCUAUCGGUCUGCCGUCUCUUGAUGCUUUCUCUUUAAAACCCGCGUCAUACCCCCGCUGACUGAAAAACUAAACACCAAUUUCACGCCCUGAUAUUUGCUUUUAUGAACCAUUUUCUUAUAAUGAUCAAAUUUGUGUUGCAAAAAAACACAAGAACUGGAUUUGUGUAAAAACACAUGAAUGGACUGCACAGUUACAAAAGGCUGAAGGUAUUUAAAGGGUUAAAAAGUUAAACAGAUGUGAAAACAUGUUAAAAAAGUCACUGAGACUAACCCACUGAGCAUGUUUUGGUCUAAUAGACGUCUAAAUGUAGCCUUGACGACUGGUCUAAAAUCAGCCAACCACAAUGAAGUUUUCUAGAAAUUUAGACUAAGUCUAAACCUGGGCUAUAUCUAAACUACACUGUAUAUCGCUCAAUGGCUAUCAUAAUGAUUCUGGUUAAGUUCUUGGAGAUCAGUUUUGCAACUCAUAGUUGCUUUCUGAAGUAAAUAGUUAUCAAAUAAUUAUAAAAGUGCAGCGUCUAAAUUCCACCUAAAAAUAUACAGAAUCUAGACGGUUGAAAUUUGGUCUAAAAUAAAAACUAGACGUCUGAUAGCCUCUAGUCUGAUGCUCAGUGGGAAAUAACAGCUCAUUCUAAGAAUGAGGUACAGUGUUUAAAAACGGAUCCCUCAAUGUUUUAUUUACUUUUAUGUCUUUAAAAGCAACAUGACGUUAAAUUUGAGUCUGCUCUUAUUUUCUAUGUACUUCAUCAGGCCACUAGAGGGCGCAUGGUCUCAUUUACACCGAUCUUGAUUUAAAUAACUUUUGAUUUCGAGAGAAGGUUAAAAGACUUCUUCAGAUUGAUCUCGAGUACCUCAGUACUAGUCCAGCAGCACAUUCUUGGUGUCGGAUUUGCUUUUGUGUCUCUAAAAGUUUCAGCAGGUUCAGGUUUUAAUAAACAAAGACCGUCUCAAACACCAAUAACACCACGACGGAGGACAAAAUAAACAGGAUUCAAGACUGUUAUAAACGACCAGCAGAAACAAAUCAACACAGACACGAGUUUAAACACCACAGCGAGAAAAAUUAAGACCCAUAAUAGUUAAUUAUUUUUUAUUUCUAACCUGCACACAACAUCGUCUCUUUUUACUUCAGCUCGAAGUCGAUGGACCAUCAAGAGAGCAUCAUAUGAUUCUGUGCAUUUUAGUGCUCUCAAAGUUAACAAAUUCAGCCGUACAUUUGGACCUAAUCCAUCUCACUUUAAAGAUUCAUAAUCAUCGCAAAACUAAAAUGAAAACAAUUCCAGACCCUGAAGGUGUAGUGGACCCCGGAUCACCAGCCUAAGACGAUGUGACUCGAGUUAAAUGAAACCCGAGUUUGGAGUCCGAGCAGCAGGAUGGUGACCAGUCUUCACUCAGUAAAUGUGUAAAAAAACAAGUAAAUGUAAAAAUAUAAAGUUAAAACAAUAAAAAAAGAUAUUUGAGGGAGUGGAUAUGAGCUCUUAUUCACAUGGAUGUCUGCUGAAGAAGAAACACUCAUUUUUCACCUGUUUAUCUUCACUGUUAUCCGUCACCACCUUCAGGGCAGCCGAUGAUUUCAGACGCCGAGUUUCUCCGUCUCUCCGGAUCCCUGAUUCAGUUUUUACUUUUUAAAUUUAGCUUUUUUGUUUUUGUUGUUUGUGUCUCCUCGUCUUUCUGGUUUUUCCAGUCUCUGAAUUUUGAAAUUAGCCUUUUUGACGUGGGAGCGAUGUGAGUGAUCUCCGGCCUCUCUUCUGUUUAUCCCAUUUUUUAAUCUUUUCAUGUGUUUUUAACGAUGUAAACAAACAUCCAGCCUGAUGCUCCGCGCUUCAUCUGCAGUCAGAGAGCAAACGGGCAAUUAAAAGUGAAGCUGUGAAGCUGAACGGCGUUCAUACAGAUUAAGAGACAGCACCAUGAGGAGCCAGGAUUUGCCUGUGAUAAAUGAAACUAAUAGCAGAUCCGUCAGUAAAUGAAACAAACUGUUUAAAGGGUUUUAACAAGCAGCAGUAUCUCCUGUGAGUUUGAUCGUCUGGGGCUCGUUUCUGACCAGAUUAUGAUCAAGAGUUAGCGCCAGAACCUAAAGGGGAAAUUUGGCAUCUUCAGACCUGGACCAGAUUUACCAUGUUUGAGAUUUUAAGUGAUUUGGAGGUUCAUGGAGCUGAACCGCACCAGCAGAUUGCUUCAGCUGGCAGUGGACUGUGAUAGCUGUUAGGAAAAUGUGCAUAAAGAAAAUAAGUUCUUCUCCUUGACUCCGAAAAUCUGUGGAUCCUUUUCUGCAACUUCAUCAACCACCUUUCCUCCAGAUACGACUUUUGUGAAAUGAAAAAGUCCUGUUUUUAUAUCAAAGUUUUCACCAGUUUUUAGGUCGUGCACAAACUUAAAGCACGACGUAAAAUAUUUGUCAUUACCGAUGAACAGGACGGCUUAUGUUGCAAAUCAUAAAAACAGGAAUACACUGUAUCUGAAAAACAUGCUUCCAUACAAGCUUCCAAACCAACUACGAACUUCCACUGAGCGAAGAAGCGACUUUUUUUGCCCCUGUAGCAAAUUUUGUGAACAUUUGUUGGCGAACUGUUACAUAAAUCUCACGCCAAUCAUAAAUCUUACCUUGGAUAUGUAGCGAGCCGUUGCUCUGGAUCAAUCGUCUCUCUGUAAUUUGUUCUCUCCUUCUGCAAACGUGGAGUCGGCUGAUGGAGCAGUUCUUGAGAGACUUUUUCUAAAGUAUUGUCAGAAUUUCUCAGGACACAAUUUAACCUCCUGGAUCGUUGUGUGGAGCUCCCCCGUUUCUUGUCGCACGGUCAGUAUUCGAUGUUCCCGGACACUUUGAUUCUUGUUUUUCUUUUUGUUAUUUAAUCGGCUCACAACCAUGACCAGGUCAUCAUCACUUAAGGAUGUAGUCGCCGUUGUUUCCUCCUUCUUCUCUCUCUCUGUUUUCCUGUGGCGAAUUUUUAUGCCAAUAUGCAAAUUUUAUUCGCGUCGCACCAGAUGUGUAUAGGUAAGGUCGGAGCUGAAUCUUUCACAUUUUUGUGUUGCUUUGUUAAUUUACCGGUGUGUAACGACCUUGAGUCUAUGUUCACCAAAAUGCACAGACGAGCAGUUUGGAGGAAGUAGGACGAACAGAGCCCCAUCUCAGAGUCACAAGAGCCAAACGUGAAAAUGAAAUUAGCAUAAAAAUCAAACUAAUGUAACGACACACCGAUAGGAUCAGGUAAAACAGUGGCCUUCAAAAAUUUCAAGACAUCGAAUGAAUCCUGAAAUCUUUAGAAAAGACAGAGCGAAGAAACAUCCGACAGGAACAGAGAAAACAACCGUUGUUGUUUUUCUAAUUAUUAUUUUAUAUAAUUUUUUCUUUAUUAUUAUUAUUUUAUUUUAUAUAACAUUUUGUCCCCAAACCACAUACAUUGUACUCCUUAUACUCCCAAUAUUCCUUACCGUACAUUUUGAAGAGUUGUGACUGAUACUCCCAACUUCUCUCUCAUUUGUAUUUUUGCUCUGCUUGCCUUUAUUGCUGAUGUACCAUUCACUUUUUGUUGUUGUUGUUUUUGUCUCUCGUUAUGGUCUUCGUUGGUGUUUUUUUCAAAUUUCUUGUUAUUUCUUGUAUCUAUUUUAAUUCUAAUUGCACUUUACUUCUCUGCAUGUCUUGUUAAAUGUUUGCAAUAAAAAACAAAAAAAAGAAAAAUACAACAGAAACUCCUGAAAUUGUCCAGAAACAUGUCAAGGACAUACGACGAACCCUACGCCCGGUGAAUUUUGGUGAAAACGGUGGAAGAUGAGGAUGAGAGCUGAGCUGAAGCUCGGACAUCACCUGGUCCAUAUCCCAACGACAAAUGAACAAGUGAACUGAGACCAACCUCAUCAGUGAAACCCUGGUCCGGUCUGGUCCUGACUCGGGUUUGAUUGACAGCUCCUACACCCACUCAGAAACAGACUCAUGUGUCUUUAUAAGGUCAGGUGUCAGGAAGCCCCUAAACGUGUGACCGUAGAGGAGGGCAAAACACGGCGCUCCGGUUCCAGCUGUCUGGACUAAAAGCUGGUGAAGUGCAAAGAUGCUUUAUUUGGUCAUGGCUAAAAGCAACAGGCGGGAAAGAAGUCAGUCAGUGGAGCGUUUAAGCCUUUUCAGCUCCUCUUUUGAAGGACACAAACUUCUUUUCUCGAACCGUGAGCCAUACAGUGAUGUGCUAUUUUUACUCUUUUCAGAGCACAAACAAAUAUCCACACAAAGACCCAUUUUCUAUUACAAUCACUGCGAGAGAAGAAAUAAAGAAAAGUAGGGCAUAGAUCUGCUUUUUCUCCUUUCAAUGAAAGACCUUCAUUUUUGAAGCAGUUACAGGCAGAAUCUGCUGCUCCCGUGUUCAAUCUCAUGUUUUCUGAAAACCCCAAAGUGUUGAUUUUUCGCCUUUCUAUACUCCGGCAUUACUCAUGAAUCCUGUGACUGUUUAUAAAAGGAAGCAUUUACAAUACAAAGAGGCACGGCGGCAUUGAUUUUUUUUUAAAGACUAUCCAUAUCCAUACGGGAUAAAGGAGCACUCAGGCGUUUUCUGCCUCAGAUAUGCUCUAUUGAUAACAUAUUUUCAAAACGCAGCACAAGGACCCUCCGCAGAUACAUGGUAUGUUCAAAGAAGCCUGAACGAGUCCCUGCCUGCCUCUGAAAGAGAUUCAACAAAGUCUGACAACCUCGUCGUCAUUAGUCACACUCGGAGAAAACACAGCACACUUUCCAUACUUCAAUGGAUCCUCCUCUGAUGGAGGAUUUGCUUGUUAAAAAGUUCUGUCAAAAUAGUUGUUCAUACGUGUUUUUUCCUCUUUGUUCGCCGCCGGCUUACAGGCAGUAUUUAAUGAUAGCAGAGCCGGUCAUACAUGGAGAGUCAGACUGCAGGAAUCCCUUCUUACGAUAAUGAAUCUGAGCAUGAAAAUUCAAAUCAUGCCUCACAAGGGAAUCGCAGCGGGGAUGUGCUCUGAUUCUGGCUCCGCUGGUCAAUCAUUAAAAGCACAACAGGCUUGUCUUCUGGUCAAUUUGGAAAACCACAGGAGGGUAGAGAUCAAUAAAUAUCUCUAAGUGCGAGUCCUCACCGUCCACAACCCCCCGAAGCCUUCGCUGAAGAAAGAAAUGUUGUCGUGAAGUCGACAUGGCGGCCAUCAUUUCGGUUUCCUGUUGCUCGUGCGGAGAGAUCAGGCCGGCGGGGGGCCAGUUCAGUCAAAACUUUGAUCUUAAUAGAGAUGGGUUCAACUUUUUGGACCACACAGACGUGGUCCUAAAGUGCAUGGUGGUGUAAAAGUCCAGCGUGUUCAGAACCUGGAUGUAGCCUCAGCGUUGGUCUUGUAGUUCAGCGACUGCAGAAACGAUGAAGUCGAUGGUGUUUUUUGUCAUGACCUGCUUGAGGGUGAAACCGUGAAUCAAACUAAAAAGGAAUAAGGUAGGGUGACCAUAUUCUGAAUCCCUAAAAAGAGGACACAACAAUUUUUUCGGCUGGGUUAAGUGUUAUUUAUGCGCUUUAACCCCAAAUUUCCACCACAUCUGGAACGUCAGCGAUUUUUGUCAUCUGCCAAUUCCUACCGGAUCUGUUUGUGAGGUGAAUUUUGUGGCAGAUUACGGACAGCAGGAAUCAUGAGAACUCACAAGAACCUGCAGAUUCACGUGCAAUCACACAACAAGGAGUUGCCUCCUUAUUGUGUGAUUGCACAUAGACAUAUAAGCAGUAGAUUGUGUCCUUCCAGAGGAGGAAAUCUACUUCUAGACUUCUAGAAUCAGCAUCUCCUCAUCCAUGGUGUCAUCGGGGUGAAAUGACGUCUAAAAACCUUUCACUUGUUCGUCUCCGCCAGUUUGCAUGGUGUGAAAUACGAUCCUCCUGAAACACGGAGUGUUUUAUUUUGAAAAGAAGCCGGAUCUUUUAUUUUGUGUCUGUGCCCGACUUCCUUUCCAGCACGGGUUGAAUUUAUCCGGCAUGCUCCAGCGUCUGGAAAAAAUUGAACUUUUGUGAUCAGCUGCAGAAUUUCUCCAUGUACUGGGUCACCUGACCUCUUGACUCACCUGCACAUGAAUUACACCACCAUUAAAUCACCCUACCAAGACCAGGAGACCCGAAUACGAACUUUACUUGUCGUUAAAUAAGAAUUAAAUAGACAGAACUCUUACAGAAAGGUUCCUCAACAACGUAAAGAAGUAGAUUUCUCCUUUAUCUGAGGGUAUUUCUCACUUUUUUAAAAUGACGACAUCUAAUCGUAAUUAUUAGAUACUUGAAUGAUCUCGCGGUUUCAGUGACUUCUUAUCCUCGUAGAGUUUGCUGCUCCCGACAACAACAUCAGACACAUUAUCAUCUGACUGACUGUUAUGAAAUGGUAGUACUCAGUAGAAUAAUAUCAUUUUGAACAUCUCCAACCUUUCACUUGAUGUGUUUAUUUUCCUGCAGCCUGAAACCUUCAGUGGCGGACUGAUGGCGCAGGAGCAAAAUGUCGCCUCCCUCCAGGCCCGUCUGAGUGAAUGUGCUGAGGUCUGACAUCCACCAGGUGCAUUGUGGGUUUGAUUCGACAGGGAGGCAGGUUGUUUUGUUGUUGUGAAGUGUAAGAAACAUCAAACCAGCAGAGUUACACCCGCCUGAGGGUGUGGAGCCGAUGGAAAGUGUGGACGGAGAAGUUUCGUGUUUUGUUUUUGGCAGGUAGGGGCGGCAGCGGCGUGAUUGAUUUUUGGAGAGUCAAAGGGGCGACUUUCUCUCUCAAAUACUAAGAGGAAUCUGCACUUUUAUUAUGAGGAGAAAAACACAAAUAUUUGGAGUUUGGUUUUGUAAGAAAGCUGACUUUAGUCAAUGCUUUUCUUUUCUGCUGGUGAGUUCACAUUUUGGAAACAAAAGACGCCGAAUCCUGCUGAUACAAGCAGGAUUAAGGCUGCAAACAGGAUCCAGUCCCCCCCUCUGGUGUUCAUUUUCCCACACUCACCAAAAUGAAUGAAUCAUAAUUUGGUACCAAAUGUUGUAAAUGGGAUUGACCCCUCGCCUGGAGUCUGAUAAAAUGGACAACACAGCACUCCACACUGACGCUGUGUUUACACCACAUGGGAACAAAAACACUUCUGCGAGUGAGUAACACGUAGAGUCGGUGUGAAGGUGAGAUUAGACCUGAGUUUUUUUAAACAGAUUAUACAUUUAAUUCAUGAAAACUCGUGACGUGUUCAGACUUAUUUUGUAGGAGUUGAAAAAUCUGAGCUGUAGUGAAUCACUUAACGCUCCAACAGCCAAUCAGCAUGUAGGUUCCCUGGUGACAUGGAUGCGACACUGAUGUUUGUUUUUGAUAUCGAAACAGGGAUAAGACGAAGCGACCUCGAGGAAAGUCAGUUAGACAGUUGGAGUAUCCGGUCAGUUGUGCAAACAUGACAAAUCCUCGUUGUGUAGUUAACCUAGCAUAAAUUUGUGUGUUUGGGCACUUCGAUAGACGCAAUACGGCACGCUAGUGACUCACCUACUCUCUUCCAGCAGCCGCUUGUUUGUAGUGAGACCUCGGGCCAGUCCAUUAUGGACAACAGUGGGGUGACGCAGCUCAAGGAAGAACAUUUACGAUCAGUACUUUAUAGAAAUAAGGUCUCCGUACAAACAAGCAGCUGCUGGAAGAGAGUAGGUGAGUUGUGUUUAGUCUCUUUGUUAAAGAAAUGAGUCAAAGUUAAAAAGAUGUUUGGUGUCUAGUACUAUGUCUGUGACCCUAUAUGUCCUGUUGAUGAAGUUAGGUGCUGUUCUGAGCAUUAUUUGUGGCUAUAGAGUGGCGUUUUGGUUGAGGUUUGUUUAUGGCUCCUGCGGUCGUUACAUUCAUCUCUAGACGGGUGUCUAACUCGGUGUUUAAGUGUGUUUGACCCUAAAUUAAUUUUACACCGGAAUAUCCCUUUAAGUGAGUUGAUAAUUUAACAAUGAUUCAUCGAUAGAUUUUAUUCAUUAACAACUGGGCUCAUUGAACACAACUACAGCUGAAACAAACAUGGCCGCCGCAGGGACGGUUUUUGCUUAAUGUAGCUAGCUGCUUCGAGAUCCAGUUCAUCUGUUCUGGAACCAACUUCUGUUCGACUCAUUCAUGUCAUUUUACCACGAAUCAACAACGCAUUUCACAUGGCUGUGUUUGCUGUGAAUAAAAAUCUUCCUGCUUCAGUCAGCUCGCAUCCUGAUUGGCUGUCAUUUUGAAUAAACGUAUUAUUCAUAUAUCAACAGUCGUUAGCUUGUAUGUGUUUUGGCGAACAUCGUACCCCGCUCAUGUGCUGAAGUUACUCUCCUGAAAACAGGGACACAGCAGAACAUUCUCCCAUCAUGUAUCUCUGCUGUUUCAGGUGUGCGGCUGCGAAAGAUCCCGUCGCUCUGAACUUGCGGCGUCCACCUCCAGCUGAGUAACUCUCGUUGUGAGUAAGUGACCUCAUUAUAACUCUUUUAUUUGGAGAUUCGGGCGUCUUACACGUCAUUUCAUCAUUAAACAAUAAAUCAGACCAGAUGCACGAAGCCGAGUCUCCUCAUCGCAGAACCGUCCGGUGUUUUUGCCAAUCUGUUGCUGUGGUGACGGCCAUGAUGGUUAUGAUUUACAUUCGUUAUCUCCCUCGCCAACCCUCCUCCGUCUCCCUCCUGCUCUCAUGGUGGGCGGUGUGGUUAAUACUCGUUAUGUUCGUUACAUUCAUUACAUCUGACAGCAUAAAUAGGCUGCUGUUUUGUUCUCCUGUCUGAUUUUUUUCUCCUCUCUUUCUGUCGUUGACGGCCGGUCGCUCUCCCUCGUUCCUCCCCCUGCCUCCAGAUCAGGUUUUUUUUCCCUCCUCCCUCGUCUCUCUUGCCUCUCUCUCUCUCCACCUCACUGAUGGUUGGAGCAGAGAGUCUAUUCACCAGAGAGAUGAAGCAACAGCUUUCCAGUGCAGCCCCCCCUUCCUCUUCCUCCCUCCAUCCCUCCUCUCUAAACCCCACAGACACAUUAAUCCUUCGCUCAGGCUCAGUUUACAGACACAAUAGGCCUGAAGAAUUGGACUUGAGAUAAUUGUGUUGCUAUCCCAUUUCAUCUGGAAUGGAAUUGGGUGGUGCUCACCACAAAGCUUGGAGUACCCUGCACACACACACACACACACACACACACACACACACACACAUAGGGACGGAGUAGAUUCUGGCGAGCACAGCGCUGUAAUUAUUUCCCCUCUAUUCAUAAUCAUCAUCAUGAAAAUUCACCACCACAGGCCCCGAGUCCACACUCCUGGCCCCGCCGUGUCUGUUUGAUGUGUUGUCAUGACGAUAUGGCGGCAAUAUGGUGCCUGCUCGGUGCCCGUGUUGUUGCAGGGGACUGUGGGUAAUUAACGGCCGUGACAAUAUGGCCAAACACCUGCUCUGGCAAGACCCCGUCGGUCAUCUGGGUUGGCAACCCCUCGACCUCCUGACAAACGCCAGGAGGGAGGAAACGCUCGGGUGGAAAGUCGUUAAAGUAGGAGGAUGGUGGUGUUGGAAGUGCGAGCAGGUGGAGGAAAGAUCGGCAAUCAUCCGACGAGUUUGCACAUGUCGUGGUUCUGAAAUCACAGCGAGUGAACGUGUCGAAAACAUCAGCUCAAGAAUCACUUUAAAUGUUAGUUUGUGGUUUGAACAGCCUGAUCGUCAUGACGCAGGAAUAACCUCCAUCAGGACGACAGGGCGGAGAGUUGGAAACAUGAACAGUCAACUUGAAACUAAAACACAAAAAACACCUAUUGUAUGUCCGAUUGUUUGGAUUGUGUUGUUGAAAACUCCAAAACAGCGACUUUUCAAUAAUCCACCUCAACCAUAACGGGACUUUUAGCUGUUAACGUUUCUGUGUAAAACAGCACAACAAAGAAGAACAUAGUUAUGAAAGGUGAACAGACCUAAAGAUCUGAUUAUUCUGAGUAUUUCCAUCAUCACUCCUCCUCAACAAUCCAAGUCCACAUGUAGGAUAUUCACAGGCUCAGGUAUGUCUCGAUUUUAACCGGUGUAGGUACCAGAUGUGUUCGGGCUGCCAGAUCGACUCGGGGCCUGGCGCCUAUUGAAGACGUCACACUAUGGCAAGUCCACUCGGACAAACUACGUUGCGCUCCAUUUAAUAAGUCAAAUGUGUUCAGUUUAAAGCCCCUCGCGGUUUUCUUUAUUUCUGUUUGUUUAUUCAAUUGAAAUUUUCUCUCCAUAUAAUACAAAGAAUAAUAACUUAGUGCAUUGUAAUUUUUAGAUGGCUUUAAUUUUAAAUGUGAACUUUUCUGAAGGAAAAACAAAAAAAUGUACUCAGGAUCUCCGUUUAUUAACAGACAGUUUUGCUUUUAUUCCACAUUUUCUUUGGCGACCUAAAAGAGGCGAGAAGAAGAGAAGAAGAGAAGAAGAAGUCCUGUUUGAUAAGUAGCGAUAGAUUUCUUCGUAAAAUUCGUCCAUGUUUUCUCUGAAGAACUACAAUCCCAUGAAACCUAAUCUGGCGAAAAUCGCUUCCGUAACCACAAAUAGCGUGACGUCAUCAAUAGGUUUCAGCCCGAACACAUCUGGACCGGACUACCGUCCUCGUCCCAGUUUACGAACGCCAGUAAAGACUCAAAUUACCAAAACAAGUUCUGUAUGUCCACCUCCGCUACAGUAGGUGGCGACAUUUCCAAUUUCAGCUCAUUAUGUAUCUAAACAACCCACAAAAUGUGUUAGCUAGUGGCUAACAGGAGGUAUAAAAACACAGUCGCUGCUGCAGUCUAACAUGAACUAACCUGGAAUUCUGGCUAAAUAACAAGGUGAUUAAGCCAGAAAUAUUAUUAACUAAAUGUGUAAAUUAAACAUUAAAUUUAAUUAAAAAAUUAAAAAUAAUGAGGGUGUUGGAAAUGAUGGUUGGGUGUGACUUUUAAACCAAAGCUAGCGUUGACAUUUUCAAAUCCAAACCUUGACUUUUCCUCGAAGUUCGUCUUUACUGUGUCUAAACCUGAACAAACUACAACCAGUUCAUAACGUUAACCAGGUUCGUAUCAUUGCUGCUCGUCCCAGAUCUGCUGUUUCUCAGUCAGAUGUUUCUAGAAGUCUAACCUGAUGAGGAAACAUGUUUAUUUCUGUCUUUAAGUUAAACUGUGAAUUUCUCUGUCGUCAUGACUCACCUUGGGUCAUUGUCUGGUGUUUUUUGUAUCGGUUGUAUCGCUGCAGCUUUGGUGGAUGUGAGAGUUUAUUCGGUCCUUUGUUCUGUCGGUCUUACAGUCAUCUUCAAAGAUGUUGUGAAACUCAACAACAAUGGUGGAAAGAUGUUUGGGAACUUUCAAAAUCCUCAGUCCUUUCAGAAACUCUCAAACGCUGUUAUUUUCAACACAGUUCAUCUUUUUGCUGAUGAGCCACAAGCAAACUUUGGGUUAUAAUAAACCCUUCGACACACACACACACACACACACACACACAGCUGUGCACACACAGCUCUUCCUCCCUGCCUACGCAUGCUUCACCUUUUGUCCCAUUAUCUUUUGUUCCGCGUUUGAUCUGCUGAUUACAUAAUUGCCAUUGUGUAAUCUUCUUUUUAUAAAACUGACCUGCAUAAUCAGCCUGUCUUAGACGCUGUUUCUCCCAGACCUGAUGAAGCAAAAGGAACAUUAUGUAACCGCUAUUUUCCGCCACGGGUCACUGAAAUUCACUCUGAUUAGACUUUUAAUAUUUACAGAAAAACAGACAAAAAGACUGCCAUGACAACAAAGUGAGGAGAUGAAACAUGCAGACGAUGCUUCUGGAUCAUUGGUUUUUCGUCUCUUAAUGAGCUCAAGUUUUAAUAAGUUGAAGAGUUUGAGUUUAGUCCUCAUGUCAUUCUCGGCAGCUCGGUCUGGACCGGAUGCUCCUGGUGAAAAAAUGACAAUGAUAAGUGACGUGGCGGAUUUGUGAAUGGAUUUGUGCAGAAUGCAGCUGCACCUCAUGGAAGCACGGUUCAUAAUUCAACAACACAGAAUGAGGCAUCAGUCUGCAGGACGCUCUGCCUACAUAGAAGCCUAUGCAUCUAAUGUAGGACUGCAUUCCUGUGAUUGGUCUGCUUGGUAGUUUGACGCUUAUCAGCCACGAAAUUCACCUCACAAACACAUCCGGUAGGAAUUGGCGGAUGGCAAAAAUCGCUGCUGUUCCAUAGCGUACUGUAACCCUUACAUUGGUGUCAGCUAUCAUGGCUCAGAUGGACCCAGUCUUAAGUCUGAAGUGCAACCAGAUGCUUCGAUUGGAGUUUACAGGGUUUGUUCUGAGUUCGUUCCAUUAGCACCUGGACCUUAAAGGGAAUGAGACACACUCUGAUCAGUCUGGACACACUAACCCUAAAAGACCUUUAAAUGAUCAAGAUGGUUAACACAACCUCUUUGCACCAUGAGCUUCAUGUUGUGCAAAAUGGUGCGCCGCUUAACUAGCAAAACAGGUUUCUUCAGAUGGAGACAGACAAAUCAGAUUUAAAAAAAAGACAUGAACUCCAGAAAAACUCUGUGAACAUGGUUCAAAAUUAAAGUUAACAUUAACAUCAGAAUCUGUUGAACUCCACAGAAGAUUAAAUUACAAACACAGUAUAUCUCUAAAGACACACAGACUAAGAAACUACAUUUUCAUCCUGAUCAUUUGUUUUAUAAAAAAAGAAAUAAUAAUUAAUAUGAAGAAAACCUUUAUUUCUAACCUACUGUUUCCAUUUAUUAUUCACAGUCUGAUAGUCUGAUCUUCUUUCUUACAACUGCAUGACACAACUUCAUGAUACUAUCAAAUUUUUUAUCUCUUCUUUGUUUUUUUACCUUUCUGAAUAUUUACUCAAAACUCUAAAGAGGCCAGACUGAGAGAAGUGUACCCCACCUUCCUUUACCUCUCUAUGGAGGACCGACACUUGAUAUAAGGAGGGUCAGUUUUGUGAGAAGCAAUGCUGGAAAUGAUAUUUUCAAAUGUUCCAAAUUAAAGAUUAAUGUGAAUGAAUCCUCAUGAAUCAGUCCAGUUAGAAAAUAAAUCACAUGUAUCUUUGCUCAGCUCCACAUUUUCUCUCACACUGAGUUAUUUUCCCUCUCUUUUAUCUCCUCCUUAAACUCUCUCUGUCCUCCUUUAUAUUCCUCACCCUCCGCUCUCUUUACUUCUCCUCUCUCUCUCCUCUUCUCCUCCACCUCAGCUCUCCCCCGUCCCCCUCCUGCAGCCCUUCCCCCUCCGCCCUGUAGGGGUCACUGUGGCUCUUCCCCAGCCCCCCGGCUCCCUCGGUGUGGCUGCAGCCCCUGUAGUGAAACGCCUCGCAGGCAUCAUUUUCUUGGUCAAAGUAUAAAAUGUUUUCUUGUGCAUAAUGGAAGCUGGAGAAUAUUAACGGGGCAAAUAUCUGAUUUCAUGCAAAAGAAAAUAUCUGAUGUACGCAGAGGAAUAUUAAACAUGUCUGCCGGUAUUGUAGUUUUUUGAGCGAAACAAAAAAGCUUUUCAAUCCCACAGAGAGAGCGAGAGAGAGAGAGAGAGAGAGAGAGAGAGAGAGAGAGAGAGAGAGAGAGAGAGGAGGGAGCAGGUAGCAGAGCAGAUACUCAGCAUGUUCAACCACGGCACAGUACAGACUCGCUGUUAAAGGGCCAGUUCACCCAAAUAUGAAGAACAAGAACACUCUGAGUGAGAGUAUGAGGCUUUGCAGAUGGGUUUAGCGUUUGGGUUGCACAAUACAACUCUAAUAUACUAACAUACGAGAAGCAAUGAAAAGCAGCCUGAUUUAAGAAGACGUCAGGAGUCGAAAGAAGAGAAAAAAUCAAUCCAACCACGUGUGCAAUAAACGAUGCAACGUGACAAAAACACGUCCAAACUCGACUGAAAGUGAAAUCCAAAUAAGCAACCACAAAAUCCGAACAUUGACUCAGGAGGUUUCUGUAAAUUCUGACUCCUCCUCGCAGCUCAAACACAUAAACGAUGUUUCUUCAGCUUUAAAAUGAGCCACAGGUGGAUGAUUUAUCGAAUCCAGACUUGGGCAUUUUACGGCCCUUUGGAUGUCCCUGCCCGGCCCUUUGUGAGGUCCGUCAAACAAAUCAUCAAGGUGCUAUAAAAGUGCGUUGCUUUUAUUUUGAAAACCUAGCCGUUAUUUUAUUUCUGUUUGGACGCACAUGCGUACAUCCUAGAUCUGCAUUUGUGAACAGAGAAAAGUUUAAACAUCGACAAAACACACGUGGACGCCUCAUAGUUGCUAAGUCCGCUUAUUAUAAACGACUCAAGGCUUGUUUCUCUUGUUUCUCUCAGAAGUUGCUUGUAAAACUCGUGAGUCGCGCUUUUUUGGGCUUGAUUUCAACACGUAGUUGCUCAUAUCGGCCUGUUUUCCUGUAUGUGUGAGCUCUGUAUGUCUGUUUAAUUUGAAUGAUGCUAAAUGAGUUUCUAGAAACAUAUAUUUGAAUGGAUAAUGUAUAAAUUUAGAGUUUAACUAGUAAUAUUGAUUAGGCAGGUUACCGAUAGAUAUGAUCAUAUUGAUUAUUUCAGUUUGUGUUUCUUUUUUUUACAUGUUUUAUUUUUGCACAAAAGUUAAAAAGUACAUUUUUAUGAAGUGUUAAGAUGAUAUGAGGGUACUGUUGAUUCGUAAGUACUUCAGAGGACAGAGGAGCUUUAAGAUUCAUUUAGAGGAGUAGUUAAUAUUUCUACAUGUGAGGCAUCUAUAUGUUUGUAUCGAGGUUGGAUGUUGACAAAGCUGCAGCAUCUGUAAGGUUGGAUAAACGUCUACGUUGUCUGAAGUAAAGUUUUUAUCUUGUGUUUUUGUGUUUUUAUCGUCUGUAAAGAACAGCUGUCGAUCCUUUUCUUCUCUAACCAGCAGGUUAAGAUGAUUGAGGGGUCAGCGGUCAACGCUGGUGUCAAAUAAUCAAUAAAAUAAGUGAUUGGGAAGCAUGUCAAACACGAGCGGCGUGUGUUAAUAUGCAAAACAGAUCAGACUGAGUGCACACUCUUUUUUAGGCUUGGAGAGACGCGGUUAAAGCGUUAGAAGACUGUUUAUUCUUGGUGGAAAUUCAGACAAACUCAGCUGCAGACUCACACAGUUUUACCAAACAGAAACAAAACUGAGGAAUUAGUCAGCAGUCGAUCCAGAAAGAGACAAAAACACAGGAGCGAGUGCGGUCAUGUCUUCCUGUUGUGAAAGCACAAAGCGGUUUCUGUCGAGGUGUUUGUGUUCACGUUCAUAAACCACACAGACUCUGUUUUUUUAUCUUAAUCUGCAGCAUGAUGGCAAUGACCGCACACGUCUGCUGCAGCUCUGGUUCGGUGUUGAACACGGAGUCCUGAUGCACAACAACUAAUAAUAAACAUUAGCGCUAAUGAUGCUAACAACAGAGCGCUCAUUAAAACCUGAUGUCAGCGUCCUGCAGAUGAAAGAGAACGAAGGCAGGAAAACACAAAAUGGGAGAUAUUUAUGGAGCCGCAGAAAAUGUCUUUUGUCUGGUGGAGCGAACACACACACACACACACACACACACACACACACACACACACACACACACAGAUCUCCAUUUAUCCAUCUUUGUAUUCUUCAAAAAGCAGAAGUCAAAUCCAGCAGCCUCUGACUCACUGUGAUAUAUUCUACUGUUACACUGCUUGGAAGUGUGUGUGUGUUUGAGUGAUUAUGUGUUUGUGUGUGUGCAUGUGUGUGUGCAUGUGUUCAGUCAUUGACUCACUCUCAUAUGAACCCUACGUAUAUGAAGAACAUGUAGGCUGCACAGUGUGUCAGUUGUCAAACAUUAAUGAGACCGUGUUCAGCAGACUGAAUGCAGACACCGCUGAUUUAUUCAUCCCCUCAAGUUCUUGUUUUUAGCGUCUUGAGGGCAAUCCACACCGCAGGCAUAUUGUUAAGUAUUUCUGUAACAUUACAGACGUCUCCAGGAACAUAUAUUUUUUUCCUGAUAAUGCCGACAGAAUCAGUCCUCGCCCUCUCGGAAACCUGCGAGUCUUUUUUUUUUCUUCCAGCCUCUCUUUGCUCACUGAAGUGUAGCUUCCUGUGCAGCCGUUGUGAACAUGUGAGGUAAAUCUAUAUUUAUGGAUCAAGGGCCUCAUAUAGGCUUACGGAGCUGCAGUGGAUUAGGAGAGUAAAAUAAAUGACUGUUUUUUUUUUUCCUGGAAAUUUCAGACGUCAGUCAGACGAGCGAGAACGCUCUGUGCAGGCGUUAAAAACGUAAAGCAGUUUGUCCAAAUAUAGAAUACAACCUUUUCUGUGACGGUGGAUCUAAUUUACUGUUUAUACCUAAACCUACACGAAGAAAUUCACUAUAACAUGCGCUUUGAUUUGAACCUUAUAUAGAGCAGCUUGUAGAAAAGGUUAAAGCUAACUCCCCACCAAAAUAAAAUAAUAAAAAUAGUAAUAAAGGAUUUAAUUUAAUACCAGCGAGACAUGUCUAAAAAGUUGGGACAGAGAGAAAAAAGAAAGGACGUAAAGAGACAGAAACUUUCAAUCGGAUUAACAGAUAGUACAGAGCUGUCCUGUCCUGCUAGCCUCUUGCUAAUCCAUUUUUCUGACUGUUAACCAAGAAACAACCAAGCUGACUGAGAGUUUGUCGCCACCUACUGUAGCGGAGGCAGACAUGCUUGUCAAAAGUUAAACUUUAGCCUGGAGCAGGUAAAUUAAGAAAAGGAUAAACGUUGAUUGAAAUAAUCUAAACGAGCGUGCAGUGAAGUGCAUCUUAACUUUGCGUAAAUGAUAUAGACAGAAAAGUUGUUCAGUGUUCUCAAAGUUCAUUUGUUGUACGAUAUUGUAAAAAGCCCAGUUACUGAGGCUGACUUGCAUCAGAAAGGUUGAGUUCUUUUGACGAAAUAGAGUUAAAACUUUUUCCACUUUGUAAAAAACUGCGUGAGCAAAUAGUUCAACAAUUUCGACCUUAUUACUCAGUGCUCGAUGCAGAAACGACUGCAGAUUACAGAAACUUCUUGAGUCCAUGUUCAGAUUUUGUGGUUACUUGCCGUAUUGUUCAUGUGUUGUUGUCAUGUUGCAUCGUUUAUUUCCCCUUUUCUCUGCUGAUCACGACUUAUUUAUGAAAAACCUGCCCGGAUCAGUAUGUGACCUCCUUUUUUUGUCGUCAUGUGCACGGUUUUAGCCUCACUGUAGCUAGUUUGUACCUUUCUGUCUUAAAGUGUCGGUGUGUCUUUGAAUCGAGUUCCCCAAAAACAGAGAUGUCUAAGAUUUCAUCUUCUGAAGUCCAUAAAAAUCUGAAAAAUCUCUGCAAAAAAGGAACAAGACCCAAAAUUUAUACAGCAAAAAAAAGACAUGACUCCGUGUUUCAGGAGGAUCAUAUUUCAACGCAUGGAAACGGGCGGAGACGAACAAGUGGAAGGUUUUUAGACGUCAUUUCACCCCGAUGACACCAUGGAUGAGGAGAUGCUGAUUCUAGAAGUCUAGAAGUAGAUUUCCUCCUCUGGAAGGACACAAUCUACUGCUUAUAUAGUUAGCCUCUGUGGCUAAAGACAACUCGUUUUCGCACGAUUGCACUUGAAUCUGCAGGUUCUUGUGAGUUCUCACGAUUCCUGCUGUAGGUAAUCUGCCACAGAAUUCGCCUCAUAAUCUGAUCCAGUAGGAAUUGGCGUAAAAAUCGUGGCCGUUCUGGAUCAGAGCCGUUCCGGAUGCGGUGGAAAUCCUGGGUUAGACCGAGACAGCCAAAAUCUCAGCAUAGAAGUUUACAGGAAACCCACAAAUACUGCGUCUGCGUCUGCAAAUUGAGCCAACGUAGAGUCCAAGUCUGAGUCGAGUCCAAGUCUGAGUCGAGUCCUUAUUGUUUGAGUAUAAAUACCAACUUUAACUGUACCUCACAAAAACCUGAAGCUUUUUCAGCAAGGUGUUUCGAGAUGUCACAAGACCUGCUGUGAAGUGAGUCGGUCCUCUCAACGAUCGGAGCAGAGCCGCGAGUGCACUUUGAAGAACACACCACAUCGGAGAGAGUGCAUUUUGGUUUUUGAAUUGGAAAAAGAAAGAAGUCUCUAAAAGGUUUUUUUUCUUCAAGCAAAGAAAAGCAUUUUUUAGUCAGAGUCUGAGAUUACAGUGUGUUGCAUAUCUGUCAAAAUCUGCAAAAGAAGGUGCAUAAUUUGUCUUAAAACAUCGGAGGAGUCACUUCAUGAAGGUACGUUGUUGAGAAUAGUCCAGGAUGUGGUAGAAUUUGAGUAAGAUGACUCCUCCACUCUCUUAUUCUCGCUCUCCUGAGCCGCCCUCUUCCUCUUGAGCUAAACAGAGCAUUGUGGGUAAAGACUGUGCAGGUGGCGGUGGAGCGUCCUCGAGAGGCCGAGCCGGCUGUUCGAGUCCCUGAUUACAUGUUAACACUAAUUAAAGGAAGGAGAGAAAGAGGAAGGACAAUCUGUACGGUAAUCAUUAGCAAAACGAUGGGACCAGACGACCACAUGACCCGUUUGGACUAAAGUAACCCCACUUCCUCCGUUAUAGGGGACGUGAACGCAACACGAAUUCACCCAAAAUACCACUCUUUACUACCAGCAGUUUGGAGUUGACUGAGGUGUAAACGUGCGAGAGAAAAUCCAUCCCCAUCAGCUUCAUCUUGAUAUUACAGUCGUUUCAAAACUAGAAAUCGACUUUGUGCCGUUUCAGCAGGACUACCGUGAUCGCAGGAAUUUUAGAAGUCCAUUUGAAGUCCUGGUUGACAAUCUGAGAAGCAGUUGAGGCAGAUUUGAAAAAAGCAUCCCACCCCCCACAUUCCACGAUAAACCCACCUCGAACCUGCAUCUCCCUCCCCACGACACACCCCCUCUGACAGAGCAAGAAGCCGGCCUGCAGAAGAUCCUACGCUAGCUUCAAACAGGAUUCACCAUGUCGGAUUGUUAGUGACUAGCGGCAGUAAACGCCAGCUCUGCUAGCGAGCGCCGUCUGCAGCUGCCUGGACAGCUACCGUGUUGACAUUGACUCCGCCCUUUCUUCUGUCAGCUUGCGUUUUCUUCCCACUUUUGGCGGUGGGGCGGGCAAAAGUGUUAGCUCCUGUAGCUAAGCUGCUAUGCUACUUUUAGCCGCUCAGAGCUCCGAGGAGGGCCGGGAGAGUGGGAGGGGACGAGUCGGAACUACGGGAGAGGGGUGUGUCAAAUACAGCGAGGUGAUUGGAUGGAGAGGCAGAGCAGGAGAUUGACCAAUAGGAGCUGUCCAGGAUGGAUGGCUCCCAUUGGUCAGUGUUUUUGCAGCCCUGCACCUGAUAGGAUGAACGGAUUUUUUCUGUUCUUUUUUCUGUUCACUUCGUGGAGAUCGCACUACAGGACCAUGAUCGCCAUAGAAACGAUUACCAAUCUCUCCAAUCAUCAACCACGCCUUUAAGUUCACCUAAUCAAAGGACUUGAUUUUAAAUUAAUGGUGCAGUGAAGGUUUUGUUUCAAGGUGGGACCAAGUACUUCAAACCAAGAGCCGAGGACCUGUUUCAGUUUGGUCAGUUGGGUCUGAAAUGAUGAAGAAAACAGUCUCUUUAAAUGGCGAUGAGGCGUUUUUCACUCCUUUAUAAACAAACAACCCCAACAGGAUAAUCACAUGAAAGAAAACCAGGACAACAUGAGGAGACUGAUGUGACAUUUACAGAGGCAGGUUUGGUGAGACCAUUACCAAAAUAGAAAACAGUACUUUUCUCUUUUCUUGGACAGGCUCUAAAUGCAAUCUCUGAAAUCAAACAUUUUUGAGAGGGACGGCGGUUGCAUCCGGAAUUUACGGUCACUCAGACAAAACCGGCUCAAAAAAUUGGACCACUUUUGAUGGGUCUAUUGAGAAUAAGGUCAGUCACUUUAAAACUGCGAAGACCUCUUCUCAGAAACAUUUGAGUAAAAUUACCAACAAAUGGUUUGACUUCAUGUUUCCAUCUUCAGAGAGCUGACUCAAGAAACCAUCGACGAUGAUGGGACGUGUUAGGAGUGGCGAUUUCUCGAAAGUAUCCGACUCCAAUGUCAUUUCUCAGGUUUUCGAGACUGUUUGUUUUAACCGAGUAAAAACAGCGUGAUUUCCAGAAGUAGAACAAGAGUAUGUUAAAUUUCAACAAGAGUCAAGUGAUCAUCCAGGUCAGAUCAUCUCUCUGUACAAACCGUCUCUGGGUUUAAUGCGAUCCAUCCUCGCACGGCCGCCUCUUCCUGCCUCUCUGACACGUCUGCUAAAAAGCAUGCACAGGCUGAAACAUUUCAGGGGUGGGGGGGGGGGUUUAUGUGAUUUCACAGGGUCUUUGUGCAUUCGCCCUCGCCAACGAAAGCCUCAAAAAACAGCUUUAAAAACGCAGCGCUGAGCUCCAAACGAGCUCCGAGUGGGAGGACGAGCAAGCAAAGGUGGGAAACAAUCCGCUUCCGCUCGGAGAAAUUACCACUUCACCGUGAAAACAUGCGGCUCUGGAGCCCAGUGCUGAUAAAAAAAAAAAAAGAAAUAAAUGAGAAGCAGCACUCCUCCUCCUCCUCCUCCUCCUCCUCCACCUCCUCUCCUGUUCAUUUACUCUCUCCAGGCGGAGAGUUUAUCAUCAGCCGUCCACAAAAACAUCAGUCAUGUUAAAGCGUGCUGGUAUUUCACCUUUAUGGCCGUAGCUGAGGUUCACUGUGAUAAAAAAAAAAGAGAAGAAAAAAGUGAAUUUUUCCAUUUGAUGUGUUUUUGUAGCCUGCAGCUGCUUUCAAGCCAAACACUUGAACAGGAAAUUAAAGCAAAUAUCAGCCCACGAAAAGGUCGAGGGACGUUAUAACGUAAGAGUUCAGAGUAAAUAAAGAGUUUUAAUUUCACCCUGAGCGCUGGAACGUCACAUCGCAUCGACGGUGUCAUCGUCAUCGACCGAAAUCUCUCCAAACGAAAUAUUCAGAUCAUAUUAACACAACAAUAGUGCAGGUUACAGCGAGUGAGCUUUAAAUGUUGGAGUCAGAAUCAGUGGGUGAAGUUGAUGCCGUGCCAGCUGGAGGUGAGGCUAAAAUACGCUUCAUCAUCCAUAAUGUAACAGUUCGCACUAAGCGUAGAUGUAUCAGGUUAGGUGAGAGUCGACGAAUCGCUCUGUAGUGCUGCUGUCUUAUUAUUGAGCUCAACCAGCAGAUCUGGUCUGUGGACUCCUCGGCUGGACCUCCCCCUCAAAUGUAGGAACACCAAAUCCAUCGACGUUAAACACACUGGAUUUACGCCUAAGGACUUCAGAUUUGGAGCAGCUAUUGUCAGACUUCGAGGCCCCAGAGCUCGCCACAUGUCCACGACACAAACAGUCCAAAAGUCCCAGACCUGAUCCUUUUGGUGCAGUUUACGUCACUAAAGGAUUUCAAUUUUAGGAUCACAAAGACCAACGAAAAAGACUGAUUGACAUGGGCAGGACAUACAUGAACGGUGGGAGUAGUGAAGAUACACAACAGUGGAAACUAUAACUAUAACCUCUCAUGUGUCUUUUUCACUUCCCUCGAUUCUAGACGGUAAUGUCACAUAAAUUUGGUUUUGUAAAGUCAAGUUUAUUCAAAUACAAAAAGUCAAUCAUAGUUGAAGUUGAUGCAGUUUAGAGACUAAUGAAAUAAUAAAAACCUGAUUUGAUCUGCUCUUUUCCAACCGUCUUUCUGUGCAGUGGGAUCUAGAUCUUCUUUACCUCCUGCUGACAACGCCAAAACUCUUCCGAGCUGAACAGGUCACAUUAGUUAUUUCCACUUUUAAUGGAGACGUCUGAACAAACUGUCUGAAAAACCACAAGUUUUUAAUCCCUGGACUGUUUUAAACCUGGGAAACUGAGCUGGUCACACAUCUGUGAUUCUGUUAUCUAAUUAGGACGAUCGUUAAAUUAACUUUCUGUGUUUUUCAGAGUUUCACCGUGGUUACAGGAGAAUUUGUGAAAAGUUAGUUCUGUCAGUUUGUCGUUGACUGACUCACAGUCCAGUUGUAUCUGACUUUUUUAACAGAUUUUAACACAAGAUAAACUGUUGGCAAAAGUCGAGGUCUUUGUUGUCGCAGUAAGACUUCUUCUGGACCCGCCUCUUGAGCCCACGGUGGUGAAAUAUUCGGAGUCAGUCGGUCUGGAGCGUUUCAUGACACACUGAUGAGUUUCGAGGUCUCUAAGCGACUCCUAAACCUGAUCAUUAUGGCUCUCUUUAGGUCCGGGUCUGGUUCAACACCAAUUGGAGGUUUUUCCCACUCCACCCACUCCUCAGAGCUUCGUCUUUCUACGCCUCCAAACUGAGCGAACUGUUUGCUGAAUUGUCAUCAUGAGAAUUUCCCGACUCUAAUCUGUUUUUUAAUGACCGAUCAUUCACGCCAUUCUUAAAUAAGGAGAUCAGACCUGACGUCUUUUCGGUAUUCGGUAUCAGUUUUAUCCCGAACCCUGAACCUAAAACAGGAACUUUCUCACACAUUUGGCUUUUAAACAGACCCAGAAGACCUCUGUUAACCUCAGUCCUGCUAAAUAUCAGAGCAUCAACCUGCCCAGGUGAGAUCUACGGUUAUGUAAUAUUUCAGAUCUCUAUCACAGCUGUUUUUUUUUGUGCUUUUUGAAGACUUGGAUAAAGACGCCGGCCCUGGUAUUCCCUGUAUUCAUAGAUUAGAUUUAUGUUCCCAGUGGCUGAAACUCUGACAUCCUUUUCUGGAUGAAUCCAUGAAAACAUUUCCAAGCUAAUCAUGAGCUCGGCCGGUCCAUCGAGUGUUGUCACACUGCGAGCUAUUGAGCCUUCAACCCUUUUAACACCCGAGCUGAAAGAAAACCAGGGGUGGGGAUCAAACCUGCGGCCUGCUGGGUUCAGACACUCUUCCUCUCCCUGAGCCUGAACAUUUAUGAACAUCAGAGGAGCCCUCAUCGACCCCGGAGGAGGAGGCUGGAAAUGAGUCAAAGAAGACAGAGAAGGGAGGACGGAGCGCAGGAGGGUCUCGAACAGGGCGUGACGAACACAGAGGCAGAGGAAAGCAGUCAGUCAGUUAAUAAACAGGCAGGAAACCGUCGUGUCGGGCUUUUAAUCGGUCAGUCAGUGAAGCAGAGGAUCGAUGGAGCAGUCGCUCUGUUGCUGACUGGUUACUGACUGGAUGUUGUGAAGCUCAGCAGGUCGAUCUCUGCAAUCGAUGCCGAAAACAAGCAGAGACACAACCUGCUGUGUGCGAGUCUGUGUCUGUGUGUGUGUGUGUGUGUGUGUGUAGGAGAAAAGCUUUUUGUCUUUGAACACCAAACAAACUAAACUGCACACACAGGUACAAGGAAAGGAUUGUCUCUGGAAACUAUUUCAUAAAAUACAGUUUAUGGAUCAUUUCUGGUGUUGGUCUGCAGCGCUGAGAACCGUCUAUAACCACAGCCUGCCGAGAAAAAAACAACAAAUUAAAAUAAAAAGUGCCUCUUCAACCAGAAGGUAAGAACCAGCAAAACAACAAAGACUGAAUCAUUUUAAAGAAGUUCAGACCGCACCUUUUGGACAGUAGUGUCUUAAUCCAUCACACAGCUCAUCCCUUUAAGGGUUUUCUCCAUUUUUUCUCUAUAGUGAUGUAAAUUUUGACCUCUUAAGUUUAAAAAAGGAAGUGUGAGACUGGAAGACCAACCUGGGCUGAGUCCAAAACCAGUCGCUCACUUUAUAGUGUCAAUCAGACCGUUAGAGUCCAGAACUGAGUCCAGAAUCUGGACUUUGGUGUUUUUAGUUUGAGGUCGGACAGAAAUCUUAACUUUUCUGGCUUAUGCAGAUGUAGCUAGAUGUGUCGUAUCGAGCUUUCGGAACAGCAGUGUUAGCUACGAUGAUGGUUGGGCUUCUGGAUGUUCUGCUAACGUAACAUCACAGCAGUCUGAAACGAUCAAAGAGAUGAAGGUGAGGUGUCUCAUCCUUAUGAACAGUUUCGUGCCUCAGAGAAAUCUUACACCGGCUACACUCACAAUAAGCGUGCGUAAUGUUGUGUUGACUUUAGAUGCUUUUAAAUGAUCAACCUGUGUAAUUUGUGGGUAUUCGAACACCUGGAUGUUCUGUGUGUAUUUGUAAAGACUUAUUGCUCCGUUUCUGCGCCACAAUCCAGCCGACGGGAGUUUCCAAACAUGGAAAUUAAUGCAACAAAGUUCAGGGUCUUCACGCCAUUUCAGUCUGUUUACAUCAAACAUGGUCGAGGUCUCUUCGCCUCGAGGAUUUGUUGUGUUUUCAAAUUUUUUACGAAAUAACCGAACCUCCUCGCUUACUCUUUUCCCCUAACUCCUGUUUCUACGAUAAAUACACGUUAAAACGUACAGUUCAGUCAGCGUAGAAGAUUUGCUUGCUCUAUUCCCAUGUCAGAAUCGAGUCGACGGGAGUUCCCAAACACUUGAAUUCAUGUAAGAAAGUUUGGGGUCUCUUCACGCCAUUUCAGUCUGUUUACAUCGAACAUGGUCGAGGUCUCUUCGCCGUGAGGAUUUGUUGUGUUUUCACUUUUUUUUACGAAUUAAUCAAACCUCCUCGCACACUUUUUUUCCUGACUCCAGUUUCUAUGAUAAAAACAAGUAAAAUGUAAAGUUUAGUUCGCCGUGCAGCAUCAGCAUCAGUUUGUCCUCCAUUUUUCAGAUGAAUGGACCUCCACCAAGUAUCUCAAUAUUUAUUAACAACCAUCGCAUGUUUGAUUAGCUUCAGUUCAGGUUUAUAAACUCACAAAAUCCUGAUUCAAAUGAGCGAGGAACUUUACGAUCAAACUCUCUCCAAAGUAAGCGGAGAAACUUUCAGUGUGAGUCCUGUUUGACACUGAAAUAUUAUUUUUAAUCUCGAUUAUCCAAACAGUUUUUACCAAAAUACCCUCAGAGAAAAGGAGAUCCUAAGUGCUCGCUUUGAUUGGUUGAUUUCAUGACCACCCCUCAACACUCCGCGUCUAAAAAAUUAAUGAAUUCAAUUCAGAGCGAAAACAAACAAGAGGGCCGACCUCGGAGUCCUCGGGGGGCGCCGGAGAAGUAAAUAAAUGUGCCAGUUAACAAAAAGAGGCCUGGUGCUCUUCAGUCUGACAAAGAAAGGCAGAAGGUUUGUGAAGCUCGUCUGCACUCAGUUUGCCAACAGUGAAGUGUUGUCUCUUUUCCCUCUCCAGCCUUCAUCAUCCUCUCCCCAUUCAGCACCACACCUCGCUGUGAGGAGACUCAUUCCCCUCGUCCCCCGCUGCCUGCAAAAAUUGGCCCAGGGGACUAACAGAGGAGGAGGAGGAGGAGGAGGUGCGUAGGAGAGAGUGGAGAAGAGCUUUUGACACACAAAGAUCCAGUUCAGAAGAAACCGUCCUCUGGAGGAGAGUCAGAGCGUCCGCUGGUUUCACGUCUGUUAUCCUGAUGAUGAAUGUCGCCCCGUGACGUCUACGAUAAAGACUCUGUGAAACACAUUCAUCCACAUAAAACACCGAACAGAAAAACCUUUACUAUGACGAGUCCCUCUGGACGAAGUCGUGACACGAUCAAAAUAAACAUGAAGUCGUGUUCCUCUUUCAUUGAGUUUAUUAGGAUUAGGAUUAGGAUUAUCUGUAUUUCUCAGCCAAGUAUUUCUCUCACAACUGGGAUUACAGUUUAUAUCUAGGGUGACCAAAUUCUGAAUCCCCCAAAAGAGGGCGAGAUUACGUGGGGGCAGAGUCUCAGGGUCAUGCGUUGUAAACUUUGAGAGUUUUUUAGGUCAGGUCGAGUGUUUUUUUUAUGUGCUUCUAACUCAAAACUUCUGGACAUACCCGGGUAAAAGAGGACGUACGGUCACCCUAAUAUAUCCCGCCUGGCCUGGAAACACCUCGGGAUCCUGGAGGAGGACCUGGAAAGUGUUGCCGGGGCAACAGGUCUGGAUCAACUUACUUAGAAGAAAAUGGAUAAACGUCAACAUCAGUCAGUUUUAGUGAUGGGAACUACGGCUCUUUUUAGAUCAUUCGGCUCAGCUCACCAAGAAGAAUCGUCUCUUUCGGCUCCCAAACGGCUCUUCAUUUUAUCACUUAUACGUUUUCUAAUCCAGUAUAAUCUAGCGUUGUUUGGCCUCUCAUAUGUACGUAUGUGUUACAUCCUUUG